AGAGUUUGAUUCUGGCUCAGAACGAACGCUGGCAGCGUGGAUUAGGCAUGCAAGUCGAACGAGAGUCCAUGGCUUCAAGUUUUCGGACGAGAAGUUGUGGAGGAGAGUGGCGAAAGGGUGAGUAACGCGUGGGCAAUCUGCCCUUGAGUUGGGGAUAACUUUGCGAAAGUGGAGCUAAUACCGGAUAUGGUCCCCCGGCGCCUGUCGGGGUGAUUAAAGGUGGGGAUCCUUCGGGACCUGCCGCUCGAGGAGGAACCCGCGUCCCAUCAGCUUGUUGGUGAGGUAAUGGCUCACCAAGGCUAUAACGGGUAGCUGGUCUGAGAGGAUGGUCAGCCACACUGGGACUGAGACACUGCCCAGACUCCUACGGGAGGCUGCAGUCGAGGAUCAUUUGCAAUGCGCGGAAGCGCGACAAUGCGACGCUGCGUGGAGGAUGACGGCCUUCGGGUUGUAAACUCCUGUCAUGAGGGAAAAACGAGCGGGCCGUUAAUACUGGUUCGCUGUGAUGGUACCUCAAGAGGAAGCCACGGCUAACUCUGUGCCAGCAGCCGCGGUAAUACAGAGGUGGCGAGCGUUGUUCGGAUUUACUGGGCGUAAAGCGUGCGUAGGUGGUCUGGUAUGUCGGGUGUGAAAGCCCACUGCUCAACGGUGGAAAUGCACUCGAAACUGUCAGGCUUGAGUACAGGAGGGGAGAGCGGAAUUCUUGGUGUAGCGGUGAAAUGCGUUGAUAUCAAGAGAACGCCGGUGGCGAAGGCGGCUCUCUGGAAUGUUACUGACACUGAGGCACGAAAGCUAGGGGAACAAACAGGAUUAGAUACCCUGGUAGUCCUAGCCGUAAACGGUGCGCACUUGGUGUCGGGGGUAUUGACCCCCCCAGUGCCGGAGCUAACGCGUUAAGUGCGCCGCCUGGGGAGUACGGCCGCAAGGCUAAAACUCAAAGAAAUUGACGGGGGCCCGCACAAGCGGAGGAGCAUGUGGCUUAAUUCGAUGCAACGCGAAGAACCUUACCAGGGCUUGACAUGGGGACUCUUCGGAGGUGGUAGCGAAAGUUACCUUUACCAUCACAGGUGCUGCAUGGCUGUCGUCAGUUCGUGCCGUGAGGUGUUGGGUUAAGUCCCGCAACGAACGCAACCCUUGUGGUUAGUUGCCACCGCAGGUGAUGAGCCUGCGAGCACUCUAGCCAGACUGCCUGUACAAGCAGGAGGAAGGUGGGGAUGACGUCAAGUCAGUAUGGCCCUUACGCCCUGGGCUUCACACGUGCUACAAUGGUCGGUACAGUAGGAUGCAAGACCGCGAGGUGGAGCAAAUCCUUAAAGCCGGCCUCAGUUCGGAUUGGAGUCUGCAACUCGACUCCAUGAAGUUGGAUUCGCUAGUAACGGCGCAUCAGCUACGGCGCCGUGAAUACGUUCCCGGGCCUUGUACACACCGCCCGUCACAUCAUGAAAGCCGUCUGCACCCGAAGUCGCUGAGCCAAUCUGCAAAGAAGGCAGGUGCCGAAGGUGUGGGUGGUGAUUGGGAUGAAGUCGAAACAAGGUA
rnacentral:rRNA from 1 species